rnacentral:rRNA from 1 species
CAGUAGCCGCGGUAAUACGGAGGGUGCAAGCGUUAAUCGGAAUUACUGGGCGUAAAGCGCACGCAGGCGGUCUGACAAGUCAGAUGUGAAAUCCCCGGGCUUAACCUGGGAACUGCAUUUGAAACUGUCAGGCUGGAGUCUUGUAGAGGGGGGUGGAAUUCCAGGUGUAGCGGUGAAAUGCGUAGAGAUCUGGAGGAAUACCGGUGGCGAAGGCGGCCCCCUGGACAAAGACUGACGCUCAGGUGCGAAAGCGUGGGGAGCAAACAGGAUUAGAUACCCCGGUAGUCCCUGUCUCUUAUCC